rnacentral:rRNA from 1 species
UACUAUGUUACGACUUAUCUUUCCUUAGUAGAAAGAGCGACGGGCGAUGUGUGCAUAUUUUAGAGCUAAAAUCAACUUUUUUAUCUUUAAAAAUUUACUAUCAAAUCCAUUUUCAUUAAAUUUUUCAAAUUUAAAUCCAAAAAUAUUUUUAUUGUAACCCAUCUCUACUUAAAUAUAAACUACACCUUGAUCUGAUAUAAAUUUUAAUAAAAAUUAUAGAAAAUUAUUAUUCUAAUAAAAUAUUCUAAUAACGACGGUAUAUAAAUUGAAAACAAAUUUAAGUAAGGUACAACGUGGAUUAUCGAUUACAGGACAGGUUCCUCUGAAUAGACUAAAAUACCGCCAAAUUUUUUAAGUUUCAAGAACUUAACUACUACUACCUUAGUGUUUAAAUUUACAUUUUAAAUAAUAGGGUAUCUAAUCCUAGUUUA